rnacentral:lncRNA from 1 species
GAAGACUUUGAUCUGAGGCAGAGACUGCACUGUGUGGCUGUGCUGAUGCUUCCCUCCACUGGCUUGUGGUGAUCCCAAAGCAUCUCCAGGAGAGGGAGAACCUGGAGGAGGCAGUGGGCUUGGGCUGGAGCCAUGGCAGUGAAGAUCGCCGCCGACCAGGCGAGAGGCCAGUGCGGACUCCGUGCAGUGAGAUGAAUCUGAGGUUCCCCCGCCUCGCGGUUUUAUUUUUUGUGACCUGUUCCCACGAUUACCUAUCAUGUUGCAGUCCAAGGUGUGCCACAGGCCAAUGAAGGUUGGCCAAUGGAUAACAAGGAGCUGUAGAGGACACAAACGAUGAACCAGAAUUCACCCAUUUGCUGGUUUGGAAUCUCUGGGACCGCGAUGGAAAUUCUUCCUUUGAGGACCAGGACGUAUGAUCCCUUAAGUCCCGUGGACAAACCUUAGACCUGUACCCAGUGGCCCAGACCUAUUUUGUGUGUUGUUUCUAGUAUUUUCCAUACUUACUUUUAUUAUCUUUAAUUUGUGGAAAGAGGAGUUGGGUUGUUCUACAUGCAGACAGCCUGCUGAGAUGAAGUUUUACUUUGCUGCUGAUGGCCUGGGUCACACCUGUGUGAGGGGAGAAGGAAUUUGCUGUGAAUGUAAGGUUAAGCCUUCUGUUCCCAGAGAAUGCCAGCAGGUGAUUUUAUCAAUAUAAAAUGAUUUAAAGUAGGAAGGUUUUGGGAUACUUCCUGACUCUGCUCACCCAUUCUAUUCAGAUUUUUUUUUCUGCCAUAGGUUGACUUAUUUCAUUUGAAAGUUUGCAGUGGCAAACUACUUUUUGUGGUCAUGAAAGUAUGUUUGUAGUGAUACUUUGUCUUGAGAACUAAGUGAAGAAAUUAUAAUUCAGUAUGCUACAUAAUAAGGCAGUUUGCAAAAAUGCAAACAUACCAUAAUUAAACAUUUGCUUUUGUUCUGCAGUCAUUCUUGCACUGGUUAUGACCCUUCUGCAGGCUUCUGUCCACUUCCAAUUCGUGAUCCACAGUACUUUCUUUUGUUAUUGUCAUGUUCAAGUGGAACAAGAAUCAGUUGAACAUGUUCAGCUGACGUGAGUCUGUAUUUUCUCCAAGGCCGCCUCAAAACCAAGGUCCUUAGAUUGCUGGACCUAACCACAGGGCCUGGUCUACACUCACAGCUGAAUCCUGGAGAGUCCUGAGCCUGGGAUGGGUUCAAAAGCAACAGAAAAGACUAAUGAGAGCGCAAAGGAGCCA